CGCCUGUUUAUCAAAAACAUCGCCUCCUGCAGUCAAACAGUAUAGGAGGUCCAGCCUGCCCAGUGACUAUUAGUUCAACGGCCGCGGUAUUCUGACCGUGCAAAGGUAGCGUAAUCACUCGUCCUUUAAAUGGGGUCAAGUAUGAAAGGCUAAACGAGGGCUUAACUGUCUCCCCCUCCAGGUCAGUGAAAUUGAUCUAUCCGUGCAGAAGCGGGUAUAAACAUACAAGACGAGAAGACCCUUUGGAGCUUUAGGUACAAGACUAAACCACGUUUAACAAGUCAAUGAAAACACAAACCCGUGGAAACUUAAGACUUUACCUUCGGUUGGGGCGACCACGGAGUAAAAAAAAACCUCCAAGUGGACUGGGGAAAUCCCUAAAACUAAGAGACUCACCUCUAAGUCACAGAAAUUCUGACCAAAAUGAUCCGGAUACUUAACCGAUUAACGAACCAAGUUACCCUAGGGAUAACAGCGCAAUCCUCUCCCAGAGCCCAUAUCGACGAGGGGGUUUACGACCUCGAUGUUGGAUCAGGACAUCCUAAUGGUGCAGCCGCUAUUAAGGGUUCGUUUGUUCAACGAUAAAAGUCCUACGUGAUCUGAGUUCAGACCGG
rnacentral:rRNA from 1 species